rnacentral:lncRNA from 1 species
GGAAACAUCAAAGCAAUCAGCAGACGACUCUGAAGAAGACUGGCAGAUGACAGUUGAAACAUGUCAGGAGAUCAAAGUAAUUUUCCUGAAGAACAGAUGUCUGGAUAAAUGAAACCUUAACAUAUUAUUUAAAAAAAAACUUGCUGGAAUAAUCACACGGAAGUCAAAUGAACAUCAAAGCGAUCAGCAGACGCCUCUGAAGGAGACUGGCAGUUGACAGUCGAAACAUGUCAGGAGAUCAAAGUAAAUUUCUGAAUAAAUGAAACCAUAACAUAUUAUUCAAAAGGAAAACAAAAAGAACUUGCUGGAAGUCAUGUUGUGUUUGGGAUUUUUCCCACGGCUUGAGGAAUCAUCGUCCCUCGCUGACCGAACCCUGGAGGACAGAAGCCUAACAACCCGUCGGUGUUUGUGUUUCUUUUUCAGAGAAUGCUGAUGUCAGGUUUGUGCUUGUUAGCUCCAACUUGUUUUUGUAAUCCUUCGUCUCCUCCCGUUGUCCAGGCCGCAGCUGUAAACACAGAUCUGUUGUUGAUCUGUGAAAUAAAGGUCAAAUAAAAGUCAAGGAGCUGCCUGUGUCUCUUCCUGCAGUGGUCGAUCCAGGAGGGAAAGAGUAAAAAAAAAAAAAAAAGAAAGAAAAAGGAGAGACAGAGAGGGAGCGACUCAGAGGGAGUGAGAGAGCUGCUGGAGAGGGAAAGCACAGAGCUUAUACUGGGAAGCUGAAAAUGGGACCAGUUGCCACCUCGGUCGCUCUGCUGGGUUUGUGCACUCUGGGUGUGUGUGUUCCUGCACACGGCGGACCCACACAGGUGUCUCUGCUAGUAAAGAGGGCGAGAGGCGACGUUCCUGACGUUCUUCCAGAUCCUGAACCAGAGCCAACCAGCCCAGCCUCAGACUUUGAGAACUCCUACAACUACAUCCGUAAGUCACUGAUGUAAAACACCUCACAGCUGAGCCAACGGUGAGAGCAACAACUGCUCCUAACACACAGAAAUACAAGAGUUAGAGACACUAACCGUCUUCUAAUGUCUACAUGUAUAUACAGGCUUUAUUCUGUCUAUAUACACACUUUAUACCAUCUAAAGUGUUACCAUAUAUAUAUAUAUAGCCUUUAUAUUCCUUAAAUUCUAUCUAUUCAGUGGGGGACAGUCACCC